rnacentral:rRNA from 1 species
AUACGAAAGGUGCGAGCGUUGUCCGGAUUUACUGGGCGUAAAGCGAGUGUAGGUGGUUUGUUAAGUCGGAUGUGAAAUCCCGGGGCUCAACCUCGGAACUGCAUUCGAUACUGGCAGGCUAGAGUUCGGGAGGGGUAAGCGGAAUUCCGUGUGUAGCAGUGAAAUGCGUAGAUAUACGGAGGAACACCUGAGGCGAAGGCGGCUUACUGGACCGAUACUGACACUGAGACUCGAAAGCGUGGGUAGCAAACAGGAUUAGAAACCCUAGUAGUCC